AAGAAGCUCAACCAACUGAGCCACACUGUUCAGGGCUUACUUUGUUUUUUUAUCAAAGUAAUUCAUGUAUGGUUUAAAGUCAGUAUUAAACGACUUAUAGUGGGAAAAAACCCAGAAACCAUUCCCUCUGUCCUUCUCGCCGCAUGGUCUCAUCUCCUAGAGGCAAGCAGUCAGUUGUUUCCCUCUUUCUGCAGGUGUUACCUUCUGAUUUCUGACUCCUCUGCUAUGUCAGUGGUGUUCUCUGUUCUCUGCCCCCCAUUGUUUGACCUUUUGAUUUCCUGCUGUGGUAAAUAGAUCAGGACUUAGUUCUUCCCACCACUUCUCUCCCUUUCCACAUCCUCCACCCCUACCACGGCUCUGUUGUAAUUUUUGGUUAAAACAGGCCGUUUUGAUGUGUUUAUACCUCUGCCAGAUAUUCUUCAUUGUGUUUAGUUGACCUUUGCCUGAUUUUUUUCCCUCCACAUAUUUACUGCAAAUUUUUUCCCAAAUAUCUACUGCAGAUUUUUUCCCACAUGCUUCAAAAUAUUUGUCACAUUCUUACCAGUAACAUUUUCUGUGACCUCAGUUGCUUCACUUCCACUUUUUUCUGGGAGCCCAGUAUCUUCCUCCUCCUCCCUUCACUCUUCUAUCAAGAACUAUGCCCCAAAUGCAAUACAGCAGCUUGCCUCUGCGCCCCUCCUAGGCCAGCACCGUGUUGUCCCAUUUCUUGGUGUACAUCCUUACAUACUAAGAAGUACUUGAAUGACUUUAAUGACUUUAUUUUGCCCACAGACUUGCUUGACAGUUUGAAAUGUUAUAGAAUUCUGGGGUGAAAAUAACUUUCCCUAAGAAUUUUGAAAGCAUUGUUUGUUUCUAUUUCUGUGAUUGCGCUAGAUGCACAGAUAUUCUCUGCCUCUGGUGUGGUGGAAUAUUAUGAUGAUGGACUCAGUAGAACCUGUCAUUCUAGAAAUUUGUGUCCCUCAGUUCUCGGAAAUUUUCUUCUAUUAUUUAUUUGAUUUUUCUACCCAUAUUUUCUUUUUCUUUGAUCUCUUU